rnacentral:rRNA from 1 species
AAACUUGCCCCGAGAUGAGUUCUCCCUGACCCUUUAAGGGUCCUGAAGGAACGUUGAAGACGACGACGUUGAUAGGCCGGGUGUGUAAGCGCAGCGAUGCGUUGAGCUAACCGGUACUAAUGAACCGUGAGGCUUAACCUUACAACGCCGAAG